AAUCCUUUUCCUUAUAGUGAGACAUGUGCCCCACCACCUGCACCGAAUUCAAUUUUCUUUGUUUCUCUGUUCUUCUUUCAUUGUUCUUGCACAACCAUACUCCUCUGUCACACCAACAACCCCUUCUCUCUUUCGCCUUUUCUCUCACCGAAACUAUAUAGAUAUAUAUAUUUCUCUCCAAAGAAGAAAUCAAACACCUAACACUAAAGUUUGAGCUUCAAAGUUUGUGGUGACGAGAAUGUGGACACUUGAACUCCUCUUAUUCAAAUCUCUCACAUCUUCUGCUUUCAUGCAAAAAUUUGGAGAGGCGGCUGGUGAUGUUCUAAAAAGCUUGAAACCCCAAACCCAAUCUCAUGGGGCAUCCCCAGCUAGCAAUGGAGUGUUCAACAGAAGCCUUCCUCCAUCAUUGAAGCUUAGUGUUACUGAAGCAACACAAAGACUUUGAACUUUCUUGUUAUACACAAAGAAAAGACACUUUUUUUGCUUUGAAAGUUUCUGAAGGAACCUCUCUUGUGUUGUUGAAAGUUUCUGAGGUUUGAGCUUGUGAGGGUAAAUUUGUCUCACUAGAAUUGUUUAAUCCAUG